GGGGCUGUAGCUCAGUUGGGAGAGCGUAUCGUUCGCAACGAUGAGGUCGCGGGUUCGAUCCCCGUCAGCUCCACCA
rnacentral:tRNA from 1 species